rnacentral:rRNA from 1 species
AACGAACGCUGGCGGCGUGCUUAACACAUGCAAGUCGAACGGAAAGGCCCUGCUUUUUUGGUGUUCUCGAGUGCCGAACGGGUGAGUGACACGUGAGUAACCUGCCCUUGUCUUUGGUGUAACUUCAGGAAACUGGGGCUAAUAUCGGAUAGCAGCUCCUGCUGCAUGGUGGGGGGUGGAUCGUUUCGGCGGUUGGGGAUGGACUCGCGGCUUAUCGGCUUGUUGGUGGGGUAGUGGCUUACCCAGGCAUUGACGGGUACCCGGCCUGAGAGGGUGACCGGCCACAUUGGGACUGAGAUACGGCCCAGACUGCUACGGGAGGCAGCAGUGGGGAAUAUUGCACAAUGGGCGGAAGCCUGAUGCAGCAACGCCGCGUGCGGGAUGACGGUCUUCGGGGUGUAAACCGCUUUCGCCUGUGACGAAGCGGGAGUGACGGUAAUGGGUAAAGAAGCACCGGCUAACUACGUG